UAAAAUUAUACGAAAGCUUUCGAUGGAUAAGAUUAAGGAUGCAACUGCCUGUAAAAUACAAGGAGAACUUCGAAGUUUCAAAUGAAGGUCCUUUACUGACUUCCUGCAUGACCAAGGGUCUUCGGCUCGAAACGUCGAAGUUCUCCUUGUAUUUUUCACGUAGUUGCAUCCCUAUCAGUCUGAAACAGAUCGUUCCAGACUAAGUAUUUCCUACCUCGAUGAAUACGUUGUGCUUAUAGCUGCAGGAAACCCUCAGCGUUCAAUGAAACAUCUUUCAGUUAAAUUCAGUACGCGGGAAAACACACCAUUUCUCCACAGGAGUUGUGUCGCAACUACAAAGCCAAAUUAUACAGUAUUUAAGCUUUAAGUAUGAUGAAGGAAGUUCGCACACAAGAGCUAAUACGGAAGUAUAUUCCUCGCCAAGUCAAGGCCAGUCAAGGAUAUAUCGGCACGGUUGAAGAGAGCGAAAAAUUAAUGAAAUUACUUUUUUUAGUUGGUACGCGAGAUGUUAGAUGCAAGCGUGACGUUUUUCUCAAAAUAAUGAACCUCUCUUGGGAACUGUUCAAAAAAAUGCCUGUCAAGACAAAAUAUUAAAUAAACCAAUUUUAUAGCCAUAUAUGACAUCCACAUUUGGCAGAUAUCGCAUAACUGACAUUAACUGUACGGUUUGAUAUAACGAGAUAUAUUAUAAGUCAACACAUACGAACAAUAUCCAUUUUAUGCGAUCAC
rnacentral:lncRNA from 1 species